rfam:Gorilla gorilla gorilla genomic chromosome, chr10, whole genome shotgun sequence
UUGCUCAUUUAGACAGCACAUAUACUAAAAUUGGAAUGAUACAGAGAUUAGCAUGACCCUGCACAAGGAUGAAGAGUAGGUUUUAAAUUUUCAUAAAGUCCAAUUUAU